rnacentral:lncRNA from 1 species
AGAAAAAGACCAAAAUAACACUAAAUCAAGUUUUUGUUCCCAAACUAGCACUCAAGGCUAAAAGUCACAAAAAUAGCACUCAAGGGGUGGGGUGUAGGGUUUAGAGUUUAGAGUUUAGGGUUUAGAGUUUAGGUUUUAGGGUUUAGAGUUGAGAAGUGAGAUUUUGGGGAUAAGAUUUCAAAUUUUGAAAAAUAAAAAAAAUUAAAUUUUUUAAAAGAUAAAAUGCUAUUUUGGUCAUUUUAGUUUUUGAAUGAUAUUUUUGUGAUAUAAACUUAGAAAGGUGCUAUUUUGGAGAUUUGCCCCAUAUAAUAUUAUUAUGUAUGAGGGUGAAGGUUCGUUCAUUCCCCCCUUGGACUUAAUCUUGCAUUCCCUUCCUCCUUGUCAGACUUGUCAGAAGAAGAAUCUGAAUAUGAACUGGAGUAUGAGGUGCUAUCCUCAGGCUCAGCCGAUCCAUGGGAAAAUAUCGAUGAGAGGUGGGUUUCUGCAGAUGCUGGCGGAUCCACCUCACGGGAGGUAGACGUGAAUCCAAAGAAAGUUGUGGAUGAUGAUGUAGUAGAGCUGGGGUCUUCAGGGACGCAGAGCGAGACUGUAGUAACAACAACAGAUGAGAAACCUUCGGAGGGCACAGAAGACAACAACAAGGUUUAUGAGUUGGAAGACGUGGAACAGUUGAUGUCGGAAAUAGGCAACAUCCGUGACAACUUGCGGUUGAUGCCUGAUUUCCAGAGGAGGGAGAUAGCUGCGAAUCUUGCGAUGAAAAUGGCUUCCAUGUUUGGAGGAGGAGGCGACGACAGUGAUAACGAGGAAGAAUCUGAGUGAGGCCCCGUAGUAUUUAUGAAGAUCAGCAUGAACCACUGUUUCAAUCCUUUCUUUCUUUAUAAAAACCUUCUUUGUUUAUUCGUUUCAUGCUUACGCAGUUGCACGCUCUAUUGUGAACCCAGUUUAGCUAUUAUAAUAGCUAAUUUGGGUCGUCAUGUUAUUUAUGUCAUUACUUUUUCUCUGGAUGUGUAAUGUAGUCUUUCGAGCUCUAGAUAAUAAUAUUAGCCUUCCUAGUUUUGGUUACACUGGCAAGGCAAUCAUAUUAGUAGUCUGGUAGAAAACAAAGAUCUGGAUGGGAUUUGAUAACCGCAUUCAUUUUUUUAAUAUUAAUCAAUUAUCAUUAGGAGGAACAAGCAUCAGUCGCAAAGGAGAAUGGCUUAAAAGGGAAGCUAGUUACAGAUGACCCCAUCGAGGUAGUGGCAGAAGAAGCUAGAUAUGUCUGCCAUGGGUCUUGUCUAAGGAGAUGAACAAGGUAACAUAGAUGCUCGAGCCUUUUCAGGAAUGUAAAUCUUGAGAAUGUAACGAGCACUGAGUAACAAGGAAAUGAAUCAUAGAAGUAUCAGCUCUGCGUCCAUUUCAUACAUGUUAACUUUUUUAAUAAACCAAAAGACAAUAGUAGGAAGACAUGACAUCGUUCAUUCUUCAUUUUAUCGCAUCUAACGUUUGAUCAUCGCUAGUGACUGGACCCGACCGUGGACUUGGCAUCACAGAUUGGAAGGAUGAUGAUGUUUCAUAUAUUUUAUGUUGGAUAAUUAUAAACAAAUCUUAAUAUGAUUAAUAAGGUCAAACUUGACCCUCUGGGAAAGAAAGACAAUGAAAUUUGUUUAUAUAUAUACGGGGAGCAGCAACUAGACCCUGACGCAUCUUUCAUUGAUUCUGUCAACAUUAACCUGAGAGGAUCCCAAAAGCCUCUCGUCCCUUUAUAUCCUCAAUUUUUUUUUAUACUCCAUGUAUUUCACGUGUGAUGUACACCAACAUUACCCAGAAGCCAACUUGUUCUUGUAAUCCAUUUUUUGUACGCCUUCUCCUUCUACUGAAAAGUUGGACUCAUCUUCUUCUUCAUAUUACCGCACUCCUCUGUUUAAUAUAUAUACCUAUCCACCAUCCUACAUAGACAGACAGAAAUAUAUCUUACAUUGUCUGUUUUUUUCCUUCUUCUGCAAGAAAUAAAAAAUAAUAAUAUUAAGGGAUGGGUUUCUUAGAGUUAUUAGAGGUGGCUUCAAUGCCAAUCGUUCAAGUUCUCCUAAUCAGCGUCCUUGGUGCUUUCUUGGCAACUGAUUACUGCUCUCUUCUCUCCGCUGACACCCGAAGAUCCGUGAACAAGGUACAACCACCUCCAGGCUAUCCAUAUCUCUGCUCUUUUUUUUGUGACCUUUCAUGUAAUGUAGUAUAAUAAUUAAUUUAACAUAUAUAUACAUAUACUUUGCAGCUCGUCUUCGUGGUCUUCACCCCCUGCAUCAUGUUUGCCAAUCUUGCCCAGACUGUCACAUUGCAGGAUAUUAUUUCAUGGUACCACCCUGACCUAUAAUAAUGCAUGGCUUUGAUUUUGAUUUCAAAUAAAUACAUCUCUCUGCUUUGGUGUCAUUACAAUAAUGAUUUGUUUUCUUUUGACUGUUUUGCAUUAUUGUUAGAUGUAUCAUGUAUGCAAAGGCCAAUUCAACACAAGCAUCGUUGUUGUUGUUGUUACAUUUAUUUUUCCAUUUUCAGAACUUUCUUAAACCAUAGUGCUCCAUCACCUUCUCCACUUCACAGCUUUGCCGACAUUGCUGAAGCAGGCAAGUUUUCCCUUGGUGGAAGCUUUAGAUCUUCCUCCACUCUCUUAAAGUACUGCUCUAUCAUGCUCAUCUCCUCCAGUCGUCAUGGCUGCCAUUGUAAUUUCAGGUUCAUGGCAUUAACCACAAAAUAAUAAAGGAUGGAGAGAGGUUUUUGUGUUAAACCUUUGGGUUCAUUAUCUUUGUCUGUCAAUAAGGCUCUGCACCCCUACAUAAGAAAGAGACGCUGUUGUAAUUAUGUCUGUCUCUACAACAAUGACAGUUUCAAGAGGAAAGGGGAAAGCAAAGAAAACCUCCACAAAAUCUUUUUGCUUAUUUCUCCAUUUUAUCACAUGGCACACCAUUCUAUACUCACGGCUAAGGCACAGCCCCCCACCCCCUGCAAUCGUCCUUCUCUUAUCUGCUAUAUAUAUAUACACACAGUCAGCUCAUAGUAUGUGAAUAGUGUGAUGCAUUACGGAACUAACCGAGAUUUUAAGGAUGGCUGGUGAAGCAUUUUCAAUUCUUGAAUGGUGGCUGAGAUCCAAUCACCGGAUCCGCCAGUGGCCUCUCUCUCCUAAGCAGCACAUUGCGAUGAUAGGGGGGUGCAUCGUCAAAUGUAUAUUAGUCAACUUAGCAUCGCAAGUCAACUAUAUCGAUGGAAAAUUAUCAAGUGCAGCUAUAAUUUCUUCUACUAUUCUCCCCGAAAAGCACCUAUCAGUAGCAUCUACCCUGCGUAAAGAAACAAACGGAAAGAAAGAUAAGAAACAGAUGUCCCCUGCUCUUUUUGAAUCGCACAAAUCUUCCUUUCAAGUUGUAAUGAUAAUUGGAUUCGCUAAGAGAGCAAAUGAAAAAGCUAACACCGAUGCAAGGUCUGGAAUUUUCAAAACAUGUUAUGUAAUCAUGAUCAGUAACACAGAGCAAAUGACAUAGAAUGCGUGAGAUUUUGGCAAUGACAAAAUAAUAAUCUAUUCAACAAACUCCGGUACAAUAGAAAGAACUAAAGAUAUACACUUGCCUGUGGUAAGCACUCUGCUGUUUCAGGUGCGGAUGCUGAGAGUAUGCAUCGAGAAUUGUUGAGGUAAAGGUUAAAGAUCUGCUUCCAAUGCAGUCAACCUUGGCGAAGCAAAUAGUGGUUGGCACUAGUAUCUAUACAAAUUUUAAAAAGUCAUUCAGAAUUAAAAAAAAAAAAAUACAGCCUCAGGUUCAGAAAAUGACAAUUUAAGUUAUAACAGCCGACACAAACAAUCACACUAGAGAAAAUAAGCAUACCGAACAAGACUGUUCCAAAGACAUGACUAUAGUGAAGGACACGACAUGAAUUAUCAAACAGUCCUUGGCAAGAACAUGACAAACAGAGACACUACUUCUUACAGAGUAUUCCUAUGUCUAUUACAGAAAAAAGUAUUUUUCAUUUUAUCACAGUUUUAUUUAAAAAAAUACUUCUGGUAUCUCUAAAAAAAAAUAUUUAUCAAAUUUUUUAAAAGAAAAAUAUUAGUUCGAAAUUUAUAAUUUUUUUUAUUGCCUCCUCGUAUCUAUGACAUCAUUGAGCAGGCCCUGUGAAUAAGGAUAGUGAUUACCUUAAGGAUAACAAGUUUCACUCUAGGUUCCUCCUCAUAUCAUAUGCAAGGAACAACCGAGAGAUCUAGAGAAGAUUUGAUUGAGUCAUGACGAAACUAACUGCGCUAUAGGGAGUGAAGAAAAUGAAUAGAGCAUUCAGCUGCUUUGGUCUGUUCAGCGUCAAAGAUUCUAACACUCUAUUUCUCUUCCACCAAAACCUGUUAUAAAAAAAUUGAUUCAGUGAGGGACAGACAUCGAUAUGACCGGAGAGAGAGGUCAUCUACCGCUUAUCAAACUUUUUCGAAAAAUUUAAAGCUUAUUGGUCCUAAUAUGUUUUCAUGUUAUUGGGCCUUUGUGUUGGGUAUUACAAUUCUCUGGGCCUGAUUGGGUUUGCCUUGUGAUUUUUCACCUCAAGCUCGAGUCAGAAACUGCGAUCAGAUGGAGGAGGAGAAGACAUUGGAGAUGGAAGAAGGCAGGAAGAGACCGGGAGUUUUGGUCGUCGGUUCCUCUGGUGUCGGCAAGCGCACCCUUCUCUCUCGUACGUGCUUGCAUACCAUUUCUCUUUAGCUUCUUUUUCUUGAUCUAGUAUUCAUUUGGGGGAUUUUUUUUUUAUUCACAGGAUUGAUCUCUGUCGAUUUUGAGGAUUCAUCAUCAUCUCAAACAGAAGUUCAUGAGUAAGUAAGAACGUGUAAUUAAUUAAUUACCCAAAUCCAAAAUUUUAUUACUGAACUUUUGUGUCACCAGCUGGACAAUUAACACAAAGUAUUACUCUGCGGAUGUAUCUGUGUGGGUUUGCGAUGACUUCUCUCUCCCUCAGCCUCAGGCUCACUCACAUCCACUUGUGGCGUUAGUUAUGGUCUUCGACUUGAACCAGGUUUGAGUCACAUUCAUACUCCUUCUUCUCACCUUACAUAAUAAUAACCCCUUUUUAUUUUUGCCAGCUGUCAACUCUUGUUGCUCUCCAAGACUGGGCUUCUCAUGCAGACAUAAGCAGUUUCGAUAUAUUGCUGUGCAUUGGGAACAAAGUAGAUCUUGUCCCUCAUCACCCAGCUCAUGCUGAAUACAGAAGACGCCUUUCCAAAGCUUCCACGAAUCUGUAUUCAGACAUUGAUGAUGAGUUUGGGAUCUCCCAAAGCGAAGGAAGUAGCUUGUUGGGUAGCGACGAUACAUCGUCACUUGACAUCAGGGGAACAUGUCUUGAGUGGUGCCGCGACAACAACAUCGAGUUCAUUGAGGCUUGUGCAUCUAAUCCUGAUUUUGACAAGUGUAAGUUACACACAUUCUAUGGGUUCAAAAUGAAUUGAGAGAAUUAAAUGGAGUCUGGCUUAUAUAGGUUUAUCAGUGGAUGGGGAUUCUCAAGGGGUGGACCGUUUGUUUGGUGCUCUCUCGGCACAUAUGUGGCCUGGAAUGAUUCUCAAAUCCGGUGAUAAGAUUAAUGAACCGGUGUUACCUCCUCAUGGUGAAGGUUAUAUUCUUUUUCUUCUCCCAUAUAAUAGAGAAAAAGACCAAAAUAACACUAAAUCAAGUUUUUGUUCCCAAACUAGCACUCAAGGCUAAAAGUCACAAAAAUAGCACUCAAGGGGUGGGGUGUAGGGUUUAGAGUUUAGAGUUUAGGGUUUAGAGUUUAGGUUUUAGGGUUUAGAGUUGAGAAGUGAGAUUUUGGGGAUAAGAUUUCAAAUUUUGAAAAAUAAAAAAAAUUAAAUUUUUUAAAAGAUAAAAUGCUAUUUUGGUCAUUUUAGUUUUUGAAUGAUAUUUUUGUGAUAUAAACUUAGAAAGGUGCUAUUUUGGAGAUUUGCCCCAUAUAAUAUUAUUAUGUAUGAGGGUGAAGGUUCGUUCAUUCCCCCCUUGGACUUAAUCUUGCAUUCCCUUCCUCCUUGUCAGACUUGUCAGAAGAAGAAUCUGAAUAUGAACUGGAGUAUGAGGUGCUAUCCUCAGGCUCAGCCGAUCCAUGGGAAAAUAUCGAUGAGAGGUGGGUUUCUGCAGAUGCUGGCGGAUCCACCUCACGGGAGGUAGACGUGAAUCCAAAGAAAGUUGUGGAUGAUGAUGUAGUAGAGCUGGGGUCUUCAGGGACGCAGAGCGAGACUGUAGUAACAACAACAGAUGAGAAACCUUCGGAGGGCACAGAAGACAACAACAAGGUUUAUGAGUUGGAAGACGUGGAACAGUUGAUGUCGGAAAUAGGCAACAUCCGUGACAACUUGCGGUUGAUGCCUGAUUUCCAGAGGAGGGAGAUAGCUGCGAAUCUUGCGAUGA